GUUAGUGUGGCAGAAAUGGUUAUGCAGGAGACCUAAGCUCUUCUAACUGGGGUUCAAAUCCCCCCACUAACU
rnacentral:tRNA from 1 species